GUGCUCGCUUCAGCAGCACAUAUACUAAAACUGGAACGAUACAGAGAAAAUUAACAUGGUCCCUGCUCAAGGAUGACACACAAAUUCCUGAAGCAUUCCGUAUUAUU
ensembl:snRNA U6 U6 spliceosomal RNA